CAAUGAGUUUGGUUCCUCCACCAAAAGUGUAGCACAGUGAUACAUUCCAAUGAAGCCGUCGUACAAAAACCUCUGUUCCACUCCAGUGAUUCCACACACACACACACACACACACACACACACACACACACACACACUCACACACACACACACACACACACACACACACACACACACACUCACACACACACACACACACACACACACACACACACACACACUAUAAGAGCUGUAGUUCUGAUCAGACUGGGUUCAGGACUUUCAGACUCACUGAGACGCAGCACAAUGAUGAAGGUUCUGAUUCUACUGCUGAAUACACUCGGCCUCCUCACUCAACAGUCGUUUGGAGAAAUCAUCAUGACUCAGACUCCAGGAUCUCACUCGGUUUCUCCAGGACAAACUGUUACCAUCAACUGCAGAGCCAGUCAGAGCGUUAGCAGCAGCUACCUACACUGGUACCAGCAGAAACCUGGAGAAGCUCCUAAACUUCUGAUCUAUAGUGCAACUACUCGUCAGUCUGGGAUUCCUGGACGUUUUACUGGAAGUGGAUCUGGUACAGAAUUUACUCUGAAAAUCACUGGAGUCCAGGCUGAAGAUGCAGGAGAUUAUUACUGUCAGCAGUAUCAAAGCUCUCCCUACACUUUUGGUGGAGGAACCAAACUCAUUGUAAAAACCGGUCCCACGGUGAAGCCGUCCGUGUCUCUGCUCCCUCCAUCCUCUCUGCAGCUGUCUGAGGGAUCGGCCUCGCUGCUCUGCCUGCUGUCUGGUUACUCUCCACAGGGGGCGCUGGUGAGCUGGACGGUGGACGGCAGAGUGCUGGAGGACGGGGUGGUGACCGGGGCAGAAGAACAGAAAGGGGGCAGUUGGAGGCGUGGCAGCACCCUGACCCUCAGCAAAGCACAGUGGGAAAAGGGGGAGGAGUUUGGCUGUAAGGUCUCUCACGGUGGCGUCGAUCAUCCCGUCGUAUUCAGAAAGAACCAGUGUGAAGGCUAGCAGCUCCCAGAUAGAACUGAACAUGGAGACACUUCCACAUGCUUCUACAAUGGAGUUUCAGUUCUACACAAUGCUGCAUUUCUGUCUUUCCUCUGUUCAGUGUCCUGUUGCUCUUCCUGUAGUUUUGCUG